CUCUCACAGGUUAAGGAAAGCUGGGCAUCUUGGGGGGACUGGAUGUGCUACAGAUUCACAGCAGGAAAGACACUGAAGGCAACGGUUAUGGACCUGUAAAAGCAAAAAAUCCCUGGAGAAGAUGGACAGCUGAUACUCCCUAUGUACCAUAAUAUAAGAACCAGGAAAAAUUACAGAAUUACAGAGAGGCCAACAGAAGGAGGUCUGGGGCUUUUUCCUCCCACAAGGGGUGAGCAGCCUCAGGAGCACCGGGGAGAGCUCCUGUCCCUGCAGUGGUUUGUGGUGUGGUAGAACAGGAGGGACAGCAUUGCUUGGGAGAUGCCCCAAAGAUUAGAGGCUCAGGGCCUGAGAAAGCUCCUGUGGCUGAUUCUGUCCCCAACUCUCACCCCCAGGUCUGUUGGAUGGUCACCCACCCAGACAGGGAUGCCUGUGAUUCUCAGUACCACACACAUCCCAAAAAUCCCAAGUGAAAGGAAGAGUCCACAGAACAAAUCUCAUGGUGUUUGGAUUGCUCAUGGGCUAAGCAAGAAACAUGCAGGUUCCCAAUGGUUUCCGACUCCUGGCGUCAGCACAGAAAGAUAUGGGAGGCAAAGAACAGAGUUGUGUUUAUGGACUGAACGAAAGGACUCCUGAAAUCCUGCUUCUCCAUGGUAUCCAGGGGAUGAGCAGGGGCAAAGAUGCUUCUGUUAAGGCAACCAAGUAGGUGAGUGUAAAGCAGGGGGGCAAAGCUACUGAGGGCUGGCCUUGGCCAGGCACACAGGAGCAGUUUGGCCUGCUGGGGAAGCCCCUGCCCGGCCCUGCCCAGACUGCACGUGUGCUUUAUGGCCAGGAGGGACCCGUGGCAGUGCAAAGGCUGAUGUCUCUCCAGGCUGGACUUUAACAGCUCGUGCUCGGCUCCCAGGCACUGCUGUCUGGGCAGAGGUCACAUCCUUCCUGCCCCAGAAAGGGCUUUGGAAAGCCUGCAAAAACACUUUCUGGCCUAGUGCUGUGGAAUGUCUCCAGAAAAAGGGGUCUCCUUCCCCCGUUCUGCUCAGCUCUGUGAAACAGAAGGCCGUACAAAGUACCUGAGCACACACAGGCGAGCUGCUGAAGCCAGAGCCAGUGGCACUUGUCUGAAGUGCCCACAACAGUGGCUCUGGUGACAGAUCUGUCCCGUGCCAGUAGCCACACGUGCCUCUGGGAACAUUGUGCACGCUAAGGCAAACGUAGCAGAGCAUAAACGUGUCUGGGCACCGCUGCCAUGGAACUCCUUCAACAGCCUCCACUUAAGCACCACCGUACUGCCAGAGAUCAUAAAUAGGAGAUUAGCGCAGGGAGGGGCACGGCUGGGGGCAGAGCCAGCUCAGGGGCACAAAACAAAUCAAAAGCUCAUUUAGAGCUAAAGCAGAACUUGGUUUUGCCCAGAAGUGCCCUCACUCCAAGUGCCCACAGCGUUUGGUUUUCCUAAAACUCGUGAUGGUGAGGGAAGAAAUGUCACAGUGAGCGACCACCUCCGACUGCUCUGGAGAGCUGUGAGGCGCGGGGGCUUCGUUCCUGCCCAUCCCGGGCCUGCACCAGGACACAUCCCGGGACACGGCCCGGUCCCGCACGGGGACACAUCCCGGGACACGGCCCGGUCCCGCGCGGGGACACAUCCCGGGACACGGCCCGGUCCCGCACGGGGACAUAUCCCGGGACACGGCCCGGUCCCGCACCGGGACAUAUCCCGGGACACAUCCCGAUCCCGCACGGGGACACACCCGGGACACGGCCCGGUCCCGCACGGGGACACAUCCCGGUCCCGCACCGGGACACAUCCCGGGACACGGCCCGGUCCCGCACGUGGACACAUCCCGCCCGGUCCCGCGCGAGGAGCGCUCUCUCAGCCCAGGCCCUGCAGUACCGCUCCCGCCCACAGGAGGGCGCCAGCCACACGCGGCCGCUGCCCCCGCG
ensembl:lncRNA